GACGUAGGGCGCGAGCGUUGUCCGGAUUUAUUGGGCGUAAAGAGCUCGUAGGCGGUUUGUCGCGUCGUCUGUGAAAACCCACGGCUCAACUGUGGGCUUGCAGUCGAUACGGGCAGGCUAGAGUUCGGUAGGGGAGACUGGAAUUCCUGGUGUAGCGGUGAAAUGCGCAGAUAUUAGGAGGAACACCAGUGGCGAAGGCGGCACUCUGGGCCAGUACUGACACUGAGGAGCGAAAGCGUGGGUAGCGAACAGG
rnacentral:rRNA from 1 species